rnacentral:rRNA from 1 species
AGAGUUUGAUCCUGGCUCAGAAUCAACGCUGGCGGCGUGCCUAACACAUGCAAGUCGAACGCGAAAGCCCCGCAAGGGGUCAGUAGAGUGGCAAACGGGUGAGUAACACGUGGGUGACCUGCCUUCGAGUGGGGGAUAACGUCCCGAAAGGGACGCUAAUACCGCAUGACAUCCUGCCUUUGGAAAGGCGGAGAUCAAAGCCGGGGAUCGCAAGACCUGGCGCUUGAAGAGGGGCCCGCGCCUGAUUAGCUAGUUGGCAGGGUAACGGCCUACCAAGGCGACGAUCAGUAUCCGGCCUGAGAGGGCGGACGGACACACUGGGACUGAGACGCGGCCCAGACUCCUACGGGAGGCAGCAGUGGGGAAUUGUUCGCAAUGGGCGCAAGCCUGACGACGCAACGCCGCGUGGAGGACGAAGAUCUUCGGGCCGUAAACUCCUGUCGAGCGGGACGAACACCCAUCCGGUGAAUAUCCGGGAGGGCUGACGGUACCGCUAAAGGAAGCCCCGGCUAACUCCGUGCCAGCAGCCGCGGUAAUAC